GAGGGUAGAGCUCAGUGGUAGAGCGGGUGCUUAGCAUGCACGAGGUCCUGGGUUCAGUCCCCAGUACCUCCA
rnacentral:tRNA from 1 species